AUGACUUUGAUCUGCGUCCUCAUCUGGACUCUCCUCUGCUGCUGCUUCACAGAGGUCAGAGGUCAGUACACACUGACUCAGCCUUCAGCAGUGAGAGCUGAACUGGGAGGAUCUGCUACCAUCAACUGUAGAACCAGUCAGAAUGUUCAUGGCUCUAACUGCUUAGCCUGGUACCAACAGAAAGAUGGACAAACUCCUAAGCUCCUCAUUUAUUAUGCCAGCACUAAAGCAUCAGGGACUCCAAGUCGUUUUACAGGCAGUGGAUCAAACUCUGACUUCACUCUGACCAUCAGUGGAGUUCAGGCUGAAGAUGCUGCAGUUUAUUACUGUCAGAGUUUUCAUUACCCCAACAGCCAGUAUGUGUUCACACAGUGA